GUGCUUUCUUCAGCAGCACAUAUACUAAAAUUGGAAUGAUACAGAGAAGAUUAUCAUGGCCCCUGUGCAAGGAUGACAUGCAAAUUUGUGAAACAUUCAAUAUUUUU
rnacentral:snRNA from 1 species